AGAAUUUAUCGUUGGGACGAGCUGAGGGAUCAAACGCGAAUUCAUUUUGUUUUGCUCUUGUUGCUGUCAUUGGUGAUCAAGCCCGUCUAAAUGACCCGAACAAGCGUGUUCAUUCUGCUGGUUGCUUUUAGUACGAUUUUGAAUUGGAACUCUAAUCUGGUAGAUGGACGAAGGUUGCCACCCCCUGCAUACUGGAAAAAAAUGAAUGAGAUAAGCAGGAAUCCGGGGGAUGCUAAAAGGGAUGAAAACAGUGUUCAAGACAUGAAGAGGGCAUCGCUGGAAAAGAUGAUAAAGUAGUCAUGAUUGAAUUAAAAUCAUUUUAACGAGCUAACUAGACAGUUGGAUUGAAUUGUAUGAAUUAGUUCUCAAAAUAAAAAGUUGUCUUAAAUGUA